AUCUUUCCACCGGCGGGAACAAUACUUGCUUCCCAACCAAAUAGACGCCACCGUCAUCUGCUGCUGUCUACCUCCUCUCCUCAUCAAUCUUCAAAUCGGUUGCCUCUACCGGUUAACAUGUUACGGUUUGCAUCUUCUCAUGUCCUUCUAGCUUUUCCUUGCGCAAGGACGUCUUUCAAAUGGUGGGCUUGGAACUUGACACACUCAUUUUCCUUCGAUGAUUUGUUGAAUGGAUAAUACUUCUUUCGCAUUUCAAGUUCAAAGAGUCAGCUCCGAAUUGUGGUUGUGGAUCACCCUUUAUUUAAUUUGGAAGCAUCGAAACAAUCAGACAAACCGAAUGAGGAGCUUGAUCGGUUCUUCACGAUGCAGAUUCUUGCGUUCAACUGGAUCUCUAGGCAUGUCAAAGGUUUCAACUUGUCAUGAUGGAAUGAUGUUAGAUCGAGGUCAAUAUUUCAUUGUCUAGUACGUUUUACACUCGCGAGUUUUGUCAUGUUUCCUUGUCUUGCGUCUUAUAUAAAAGGUUUUUGUUCUUGAA